rnacentral:rRNA from 1 species
UGUCGUCAGCUCGUGUUGUGAAAUGUUGGGUUAAGUCCCGCAACGAGCGCAACCCUUAUCCUUUGUUGCCAGCGGUCCGGCCGGGAACUCAAAGGAGACUGCCAGUGAUAAACUGGAGGAAGGUGGGGAUGACGUCAAGUCAUCAUGGCCCUUACGACCAGGGCUACACACGUGCUACAAUGGCGCAUACAAAGAGAAGCGACCUCGCGAGAGCAAGCGGACCUCAUAAAGUGCGUCGUAGUCCGGAUUGGAGUCUGCAACUCGACUCC